UAAUCUUCCGCUUCACAUCCACGGCCUUGGCCUUCACAUUCGCCUCCUGAAUCCCAUCGAGACACGUCUCGUCAUCCGUGAGGGCGGCGCUCAGCCACGUCUGGGCAUUGCUCAUCUGGAAUCGAAACGUCUCCUUCCGGAGGUGGUGCAGCUCGGCGAGCGUCUCGCUCAGCUCGUCCACCGACGUCGACAUCAGGUCCACGCAGUCGCCGAUCGCCGAGAGCUGCAGCUUCGUCCCCUUGAAGGAGGCGGAGAGCUGGGCGAGGAAGCCGGAGACGCGGAGUGAGCGGGCGAGGCUAACGUUCACAGCGGCCUGGGCGAGGUCGCGGGGGGUCUUGGCGGGGCCGGCGUAGUUGGAUAGAGUGCGGAGGCAGAUUUUGGGGUAAGUGGCGUGGCGACAUGAUGAACGGACGAUAUUUGAUGCUGG
rnacentral:lncRNA from 1 species